CUCAAGGCAUUUCCCUCGCGAGAGGUGUCCAGGGCAUGCACAAGGCCGACUAGGGCACCGGAUCGGUGCGAGUCUAGCCUCGGGUGUGCGUGCAGCGCGAUGCGCGUUCGUCCCGCUCGAGGUGGAAGAAAGGGUGCGGGGUCCACCCGUCAGCUCCUGAAGGCGAAGGAGGGCAGGAGCUACUCAUGUGGCGUACCGCUUCGGUAGUAGCUGCGCCGUGGGCCGGCCUCACAGCGGCUAUGCUCUGCCGCGCGCGGGCGAAACCCCUCGUGGGCCACUGUGCAGACCGUCUACACAAUGCGUUGCGAUUUUUUUUAAACUGCUAAAAUAAUCUGGCUAAAACAAAUACGAGGAUUUUUUUUUAGAAAAUACUAAUGGCACACAGUAA
rnacentral:lncRNA from 1 species